CCCGCAUGCCCCGGACCCCUCAGCCUUCUCCUACGCUCCACCUGGUCACCCACUGCCCCUGGGCCUCCAUGACACUGCCCGGCCCGUCCUGCCGCGCCCACCCACCAUCUCCAACCCGCCUCCCCUCAUCUCCUCUGCCAAGCACCCCAGCGUCCUCGAGAGGCAAAUAGGUGCCAUCUCCCAAGUGAGUGGUAGCCCUUCCUUUCUUGGGGGCUUAGUCUUCUUAUCUGUAAAGUGGGGGCAAUGGGACCAAUGAAGUCUGAGUGGGGGCCAGGCUCUCGGGGGCCUGGGUCAUCUCCACUCAGGCAUCUGGGGUCUGAGCUGGCUGGGUCCUGCCCCAGGCACUCAGGGCCUCGUCCCUGGGGGGUCACUCUGUAUUGCAGUCAAGGGCAUGGCUCAGGAACCAGGCUGUGUGGCCUCAGGCAAGUUACUUAACCUCCUGUUUCCCCCACUGCGAAAUGGAAGGGCAAAUGCAAGGGGCUCAGAGGGCAUGGCCCCUUCACAGGGGAGGGGGCCGAGGCUUGGGAGUAGCAGUGACUUGUCUGCCGUCACACAGC
rnacentral:lncRNA from 1 species